GGGCCCUGCACGUUGCGGUGGCGUGGCGUGGUGUGGCAGGGACCCCAUGGUCUGUGGGCAUCCACCCCCCUCCCCUGAGCUCAAGGAGACUCCCUGCCAUCAGCAGACAGUGCAGGGCACAGGGCUCAUGACACCGCCCUGGUGAUCUGGGGCUGCCCCUUCCCAGGCAGCGGUUCCCUGCACCACGCCGCCCCCCCACAGCCCUCAGAGACACGCGACCGAGGAGGAGGAGGAGGAGGAGGCCUCCCCCAGGUCCGCUUUCGAGAUUCACCGGCGUGGAGAAGCUUGAGCCACCUCCGAACGGGUCGCUCAGACGGAGGUGGGUGCUCCGCUGUGCGGAUUCUCCAGCGACGCCAGCUCCGUGGGUGAACGCGGAGGAGACGUUCAGACGACAGAGCACCUUGCAUGGGGGAACCAUGCACCCUAAGGCUACAGCUUGAGCAAUAGUACGCGCCCAUUUUUGGACUCAGAUUUGAACGUGGUGACAAAGCACUAGGAGCAGAAGAAGACGACUGCUUCAUUUCCUGAUGUGCCUUGUGCAAGCGAGUGCAGGCUUGGGCGAGGGCAUGGCGCAGACACUCCCGUGUGCCCUAACGAGCUCCUUAUGGGACUUGGCGGAGGGGAAGGAAGUGGGGAAAAGUGAAAUCCCAGGUGGCGUUCAGCUGCCCGGCACAUUGGGAACGAGAUUCACACGGCAGAGGGUUCUGCAUGCUGCCAAAAUGGGUUAACACCUUCAAGUGGCCUUGCAUUAUCCAUUGAGAAGGAGAGCUCACAAAUCUCCAUGAAGCAUUGCCCAAUGUGCAACAGCACCUAGAGCAGCUUUCAAAUGCAGUGAGUUCUUCUGAAGAAAGCUGGCUAAGUCCAUCCCAACCAUGUGGUUGGUCCCAUGAAAGAGAUCCCCCACCAAAAUCCUUGCCUUCCACUUAUUUCCUGGACUACAUCACUUGAACAUGACCCUGACAUGCAAAAGGAAACCAAUUUCUUAUCUGCAUUAAACAAAGGUAUAGAAAAAUCAUAGAGAAAGGAACUAGCUGGAGUGAGCAUGCACUUUUUUUGGAUAUUAGAAAAAACGUUCUCACUAGCUACUAUGAAACUAGGAGGAUGGUGAAGCACUUGAACAGGCUACUUAGAGAGGUGGUGGAGUCUCCAUCGUUGGAGACUUUUAAGACCCAGCAAGACAAAGCCCUGGCUGGGAUGGUGUAGUUGGGGCUGAUCCUGCUUUGAGCAAGGAGUUGGACUAGAUGUGACCCCCUGAGGUCCCUUCACACCCUCAUUUUCUAUGAUUCUGUUAUUUUUCUUUGUGUUUUCCAUCUGUGUGCAAUCAUAGCUGAAUAUCUGAGUACUGAAGCUGAACUGACUCAACUCAACAGCUGAGCCUAGCCUACUGAAAUCAGUGGGGAUCUUCCUUACUACUACAAUAAAGUUAGAAAUGUGCAUCCAUUGGACAACAAUAAAGUUUGAGGGUGUGCGCAGUAUCUAAAAAAGCAUAAUGACUGAUGCUAACAUCUUAUAUUUUGCUCUGAGUUGCUGCAGCCAACUCAUUCUUCAUGCAAUGAAAGGUUCAGAGAUGAACGGUUCCAACAAAGGCUAGUUAGAGAUGGAUAAAGAUGACUUGCUCACAGCGAGAGAUUGCAAAACCUAGGAUUCAGUUAGGAAAGCACUAUAAAACGAAGAUGGCCUGCUUGAUUGAGGUGUUUUAAGAUUGGAAAGGACAGCCUAAAACCAGAGAAAUUCCCUCCUGCCUAUUCUAUUUCUAUAAUUAAAAAGCAAGGGGUUACCAGUCAACAGCAAUUAAAUUGGGAUUUCUUCUUGCAGAACAUGACCAGCCUGUGCUGGGGGGAUGUUGUCAGGUCAAAGGAUGAUGCUUGAUUUAAAAAUGACUGGCUAAUGUGGAAGGUGAUAUAAAUAAUAUACUUAAUAUAGUGCAGCUUGCAUUAAAAACAUUGGAUAAAUGCUAGAUGUAAUGAAGUCACAUUGAGGGCUGCUAUACCCUGGAGACUUGGGUGACUGAAUAGCAGUGAAUGCUUGACUCUUCAGAGCAAGGGCCUUGUCUUCGGUUGUUGAUUUGUUCCUUUAUUACCACGGAUCACUGUGUGUAUCUGUAGUGCUAUAUAAAUAACUGUAAUAAAGUCUAGGAAUAGAGUACCUAAUUUCAGCACUAGCGGAAAUCUCUUAAUUUAUUUUUGAUUUAUAGGGGUUUUUAUUAGGGAACUCAUCAUGUUGGCAGCCAAGCACCUUGCAAACAUCAGAGUGGUAUUAUGAUUUCCUUUUUUACAGAUGACAAACUAAGGCACAGAUGGAUUAAGUGACUUGGCCACAGAAAAUCUGUAGCAAAACUAGUCAGGAGUCCCAGAGAGAUGCUUUAAUCACAAGACUGAUUUCUCUCUUCGGUGAAAAGCAUUCAAACCUUGUCCUUUCUUUUUUUUAAAAGUCUGAGAAAAGUUUAUAUUUCUGAAAGCAUUAAAUGAAUAAAGCUCCUACGAGGCAGGCUGGUUGCAUUCUCAUUUUAUACAGCAAUAAAAUAGGGUGUACAGAAACCUGUCCGGGGCUGUACAGCAAGCCUGUGCCACCUUGCAAUAAAACUGACUUCUCUGUGUCUUCUGCUGCACUGUCAUUAAUAUUUUGGUACAGGAUGAGCCACGUUAGAAGCCCAUGCAUAAGGAGGCUCACCAUUCAAAUCACACACAUGGCACUUGCCAGUUGCCAGAUCCCGUCCUAAUCAAUAGUAAAGAUACUGAUCUAGAUGGGAUCUGGCAUUGCUUCAGCCCAUUUAAGUGUGCCAACUAAUUCAGGAGCAGCUUUUCAGCUCUUCACCCUUCAUUAAGUCUUUUACUUUAUUACUCUGAUGCCUUGACUUUAAUGGCAGCCUUGACACUGUCAGGUAUGUGACUGAUGGCACUGAGAGAGCUUGAGAUGGGUUAGAAGAAUAAACUUCCCACUGCGCUUGUCAGGCAAUCUUUUGAUUGCCGAACAACCCCAGCUUAUAGACUGUUAUAAGCACUUGUUGCUGGGUGCAUCUAGAUAUAUACUGCGGAGCUGCCUAAUUAGCUCCAUGGUAAAUGCCUCAGUGUCUAUACGUGUGGCCCUAUUAGACGUCAGGAAACUAAGAAACUCUGCAGCAGGGUAGCACGUGUAAAUACAAGCACUACUUUACUAUGGGGUUUUUUCAUGCACAGCACCGCAUGUGUAGACGCUGAUGGGACGGGCUAGGGCAUGAGGGUGCUCCAGUGCUGGGGCUGCUUGCUGGCUAGCCUCACACUGGAGUACCCUUGUGCCCCAGCCAGCCCCUCCACAGCACAUUGAGCCAGGCAGAAGCAGGCCCCCCCUGGGUCCCCUGCCAGCCAGGGCUGCUCUGACCCGGAUCAACGUGCUGUGGUCCCAGGCACACGUGCAAAUGGCACUCCUGGGAGCAAGAAACUCUGGUGCAAUAAGUGCUGGCGUUUAUUGCUCCGCAUUAAUUGCACAUGUAGAUGCACUGGUUGUAUCUCCAAAUACUGUCUACUUUGGGGCGGGGAUCCAGACUUUUACUCUGUUUUCUGCAACACCAAGCACGCUAUCAGUUUUCAUCUCAUAAAAAUAUCUAUGGCUGAACCAGCUGUAGAACGCAAUGUGCUUGGGACUGCACAAAAUACAGAGGAGCAUGGGGUCACUUGCACAAUCUAAAGUGCACAAUUUGGACAGACGGCACAGAUAUAAAAUGUCCUGGGUGACAAUGGAACAAUUUUGCAUCAUUUCAAGGCUGCAAGGUUGUUGGGUUUUGCUUUAUUUCUUAUGCAAGUGGGCUAGCACCCACUGGCUUUGGGGGAGAUGGGAGUUCAAAGGAUGAAAGGGAGGAUGCUUGCACCAGGCUUAUGCGAGAUUCAAGCAACAAAGGGAAGGAUAGAAGAAAGCAAGAAAAUCAAAGUGCUGGAAAAGUGGGCAGAAUGGGAUGGGGAAGAGGUGGAAGUGACACCAGAGUUGCAGAAUUGCACACAGCCUUCUGGGGACAAAUCUGAACCUGCUCCAGAAAAGGAUGCCAGUGAGCUGUAGGCUCUGCGCUACCAGCUCUGGAAAUAGAUCUGGACGCGGCAAGGCAUGGUCAUUACAGGUACUCCCUACUGACUCUUUAAUAUGCCGUCCAGCGCAAAGACUGAUCUUCAAGCAAACCUAGUCUUUAGCUCUAGGGAUGUUGUCACUUAAUAGAUGUUGUGGCUGGUUAUUUUUGUCUUAUACACAGAACAAGAAAAUAUAGUUCUUAGCUACCUAAGGAAAUGGUCUGAGAGAUAAUUAGUGCCCUCCACAAUGUUUGGAGUCAAUACUUUUAGGAGGCACCCUACAUAUGCUCGUUAAUGAGCAGCUACAUCUAGAUUUCUUUUAUUUUUAGGUGAGUUACUUAAUUAUGCACCAAGCUUUGAUAAGCAAUACAGUUGUGUUGUCUACUUUAAGCUACCUGAAUAGCAACAGCAAUAAUUUUCUGCUCAGUUUGCUUCAUUUAAUUUUAAAAAGUAUAAACCACUGCUGAGAGGUAUCUUCUUUCACUGUUUUUUUUUUCUUUUUUCAAUGACUAAUGCCCCGGAAGACCGUACAGAAGACAGGAGCACUGCUAGGUUUCUGAUAUCAGACAUACCCUAUCAUCUUUGUGUCAUUUAGCUUCCCUCUACCUCCUCGAACUGAGAACAACCUGGAAGUUGAAGAGCAUGAUGUUGGAGAUGGAUCGACUCUAGCUAUUUCACCGACAGUCCAGCAAAUAACUCCCAGGCGACAGCAGCUUGAUCCUGCAGCUCUCACUCGGAUAAACGCUCUCUUGACUGAAUCCCUUUCGAGAUCCUCGGAUGCGCAAGGCCUGACUCAUAAAUCAGUAAAUCAAACAAACACCGCCAAGGCAAACAAAUCACUCUUUUCAACCACUACCAUCAGUUAAAUAUUUUUGACCAAGUCCUGCCCCUGUUAAACUAGUGUGACCCCAUGUCCUUCCAUGGGGUUUCCCAGGCAUGAAUAAAGGCAGAAUUUGGCUCUGGAAA